CGUAGGGUGCAAGCGUUGUCCGGAAUUAUUGGGCGUAAAGAGCUCGUAGGCGGUUUGUCGCGUCGAAUGUGAAAACCCCGGGGCUCAACUCCGGGCCGUGCAUUCGAUAACGGGCGAGACUAGAGUUCGGUAGGGGAGACUGGAAUUCCUGGUGUAGCGGUGAAAUAGCGCAGAUAUCAGGAGGAACACCGGUGGCGAAGGCGGGUCUCUGGGCCGAUACUGACGCUGAGGAGCGAAAAGCGUGGGGAGCGAACAGGAUU
rnacentral:rRNA from 1 species